GAAACAUCUUAGUACCCGGAGGAAGAGAAAGAAAAUUCGAUUCCCUUAGUAGCGGCGAGCGAAACGGGAAGAGCCCAAACCAACAAGCUUGCUUGUUGGGGUUGUAGGACACUCUAUACGGAGUUACAAAGGACGACAUUAGACGAAUCAUCUGGAAAGAUGAAUCAAAGAAGGUAAUAAUCCUGUAGUCGAAAAUGUUGUCUCUCUUGAGUGGAUCCUGAGUACGACGGAGCACGUGAAAUUCCGUCGGAAUCUGGGAGGACCAUCUCCUAAGGCUAAAUACUCUCUAGUGACCGAUAGUGAACCAGUACCGUGAGGGAAAGGUGAAAAGCACCCCGGAAGGGGAGUGAAAUAGAACCUGAAACCGUGUGCUUACAAGUAGUCAGAGCCCGUUAAUGGGUGAUGGCGUGCCUUUUGUAGAAUGAACCGGCGAGUUACGAUUUGAUGCAAGGUUAAGCAGUAAAUGUGGAGCCGUAGCGAAAGCGAGUCUGAAUAGGGCGUUUAGUAUUUGGUCGUAGACCCGAAACCAGGUGAUCUACCCUUGGUCAGGUUGAAGUUCAGGUAACACUGAAUGGAGGACCGAACCGACUUACGUUGAAAAGUGAGCGGAUGAACUGAGGGUAGCGGAGAAAUUCCAAUCGAACCUGGAGAUAGCUGGUUCUCUCCGAAAUAGCUUUAGGGCUAGCCUCAAGUGAUGAUUAUUGGAGGUAGAGCACUGUUUGGACGAGGGGCCCCUCUCGGGUUACCGAAUUCAGACAAACUCCGAAUGCCAAUUAAUUUAACUUGGGAGUCAGAACAUGGGUGAUAAGGUCCGUGUUCGAAAGGGAAACAGCCCAGACCACCAGCUAAGGUCCCAAAAUAUAUGUUAAGUGGAAAAGGAUGUGGCGUUGCCCAGACAACUAGGAUGUUGGCUUAGAAGCAGCCAUCAUUUAAAGAGUGCGUAAUAGCUCACUAGUCGAGUGACACUGCGCCGAAAAUGUACCGGGGCUAAACAUAUUACCGAAGCUGUGGAUUGUCCUUUGGACAAUGGUAGGAGAGCGUUCUAAGGGCGUUGAAGCAUGAUCGUAAGGACAUGUGGAGCGCUUAGAAGUGAGAAUGCCGGUGUGAGUAGCGAAAGACGGGUGAGAAUCCCGUCCACCGAUUGACUAAGGUUUCCAGAGGAAGGCUCGUCCGCUCUGGGUUAGUCGGGUCCUAAGCUGAGGCCGACAGGCGUAGGCGAUGGAUAACAGGUUGAUAUUCCUGUACCACCUAUAAUCGUUUUAAUCGAUGGGGGGACGCAGUAGGAUAGGCGAAGCGUGCGAUUGGAUUGCACGUCUAAGCAGUAAGGCUGAGUAUUAGGCAAAUCCGGUACUCGUUAAGGCUGAGCUGUGAUGGGGAGAAGACAUUGAGUCUUCGAGUCGUUGAUUUCACACUGCCGAGAAAAGCCUCUAGAUAGAAAAUAGGUGCCCGUACCGCAAACCGACACAGGUAGUCAAGAUGAGAAUUCUAAGGUGAGCGAGCGAACUCUCGUUAAGGAACUCGGCAAAAUGACCCCGUAACUUCGGGAGAAGGGGUGCUCUUUAGGGUUAACGCCCAGAAGAGCCGCAGUGAAUAGGCCCAAGCGACUGUUUAUCAAAAACACAGGUCUCUGCUAAACCGUAAGGUGAUGUAUAGGGGCUGACGCCUGCCCGGUGCUGGAAGGUUAAGAGGAGUGGUUAGCUUCUGCGAAGCUACGAAUCGAAGCCCCAGUAAACGGCGGCCGUAACUAUAACGGUCCUAAGGUAGCGAAAUUCCUUGUCGGGUAAGUUCCGACCCGCACGAAAGGCGUAACGAUUUGGGCACUGUCUCAACGAGAGACUCGGUGAAAUCAUAGUACCUGUGAAGAUGCAGGUUACCCGCGACAGGACGGAAAGACCCCGUGGAGCUUUACUGUAGCCUGAUAUUGAAAUUCGGCACAGCUUGUACAGGAUAGGUAGGAGCCUUUGAAACGUGAGCGCUAGCUUACGUGGAGGCGCUGGUGGGAUACUACCCUAGCUGUGUUGGCUUUCUAACCCGCACCACUUAUCGUGGUGGGAGACAGUGUCAAGCGGGCAGUUUGACUGGGGCGGUCGCCUCCUAAAAGGUAACGGAGGCGCUCAAAGGUUCCCUCAGAAUGGUUGGAAAUCAUUCAUAGAGUGUAAAGGCAUAAGGGAGCUUGACUGCGAGACCUACAAGUCGAGCAGGGUCGAAAGACGGACUUAGUGAUCCGGUGGUUCCGCAUGGAAGGGCCAUCGCUCAACGGAUAAAAGCUACCCCGGGGAUAACAGGCUUAUCUCCCCCAAGAGUUCACAUCGACGGGGAGGUUUGGCACCUCGAUGUCGGCUCAUCGCAUCCUGGGGCUGUAGUCGGUCCCAAGGGUUGGGCUGUUCGCCCAUUAAAGCGGUACGCGAGCUGGGUUCAGAACGUCGUGAGACAGUUCGGUCCCUAUCCGUCGUGGGCGUAGGAAAUUUGAGAGGAGCUGUCCUUAGUACGAGAGGACCGGGAUGGACAUACCUCUGGUGUACCAGUUGUCGUGCCAACGGCAUAGCUGGGUAGCUAUGUGUGGACGGGAUAAGUGCUGAAAGCAUCUAAGCAUGAAGCCCCCCUCAAGAUGAGAUUUCCCAACUUCGGUUAUAAGAUCCCUCAAAGAUGAUGAGGUUAAUAGGUUCGAGGUGGAAGCAUGGUGACAUGUGGAGCUGACGAAUACUAAUCGAUCGAAGACUUAAUCAA
rnacentral:rRNA from 1 species